AGGACUAACGCUGGCGGCGUGCCUAACACAUGCAAGUCGAACGAGGGGUAGCAAUACCCCUAGUGGCAGACGGGUGAGUAACACGUAGUCAACCUACCUCUUAAUGGGGGAUAACUAGCCGAAAGGUUAGCUAAUACCGCAUACGAUCGUCGAGUGGCAUCACACGACGAUGAAAGGAGCAAUCCGUUGAGAGAGGGGACUGCGUCCCAUUAGUUAGUUGGUGGGGUAAUGGCCUACCAAGACUCCGAUGGGUAGCUGGCUUGAGAGAGCGACCAGCCACACUGGAACUGAGACACGGUCCAGACUCCUACGGGAGGCAGCAGUGAGGAAUUUUCCGCAAUGGGGGAAACCCUGACGGAGCGACGCCGCGUGUGGGAAGAAGGCCUUCGGGUCGUAACCACUGUCGAGGGGACGAUAUUGACGGUACCCCUGGUAGGAAGCCCCGGCUAACUACGUGCCAGCAGCCGC
rnacentral:rRNA from 1 species